rnacentral:tRNA from 1 species
AUUCUUUUAGUAUAACCAGUACAGCCGACUUCCAAUCAGCCAGUUUCGAUAGCAUCGAAAAAGAAUA